GAAAGGGGAAUCUGACCUGUGUGGUUUAAUUUAACCCCUGAGCUUUGCAUGUUGUGUUUGAGUUCAGGGAACUUGUUUUUCCAUUCAGCUGGGACCCUGAGGAGAUCAGGAUCAUGUCUCCAGGCCUCCCCUGCAGGCCCCUCUCUGUGGACACGUACCCCCCAGCCUCCCUCCAUGGUGAGGGCCCCAGCUGGGCCUCAGGGAGGCAGGAGGCUGAGACCUAGGGACACAGGGUCUUGAGCUGAAGGGCCAUGGAGAUGGCCUGCCUUGCUCCCCUUCCUCCCAACACUUGGGUCUAAGCUUCCCGCCACCAAUCAAGAAAGACUGCAUCCCGAGGACUUUGGUUUCGGACGUGUUUUAUUUGGCACAAAGGAGAAGGGGGUCUGACACCAGUUUAGCCUUUUGAGUGUGCAGAGCUCUGCCCACCCCCCCUCACCCCUCAAUAAUGAGCCCCUUUUCCACAUUUAUCUCAGCCCCGAACCAAGGAUUUCGUAGCCCUAAGAUCCAUCCAAGUAGGUUUCCUCAUACCACCCCCCUUCAAUUUGCUCUUGUUCUUUGGUCCCUAGAGAAGGCAGCCUUCUUUAGGGAUAAAAGGAGACACAAAGCCCAGCCCUGAAGUGCAGCACCCUAGGGGCUCUUCAGCCACCACUGGUCGGCGGCGAGGGGGCGUGGGACAGGUGAAAGGAACCGGACAGGUAAGGUAGGGCUGCCCCCCCGGAACCGUCCCCUUCCCUAGGAACCAGCCGGAGCCGAGGGAGGAAAGCUGGGGGUUCAUGUUCCUGGGGAGCUGCCAGGACAGAGGAAUGGGGGCCGUGGGCGGGGGCGGGGGGUGCGGGUUGAGGAUGGUGAGGAAAAGUACAGGUAAAGGGGAAGUUUGGGGAGAGAAGGAAAUGAUGAGCUUGGCCUUCCUCAGUGUCUGGUGACACGGAGGGGAGGUCUGAGCAAGGGGCCAGCAAUGACCCCAGCCAACCCACAAACUCCACCAAUCCCCAGAUUGGCUUUGUAAUUCCAAAACUUUUAAGGAAGGGGUUUGGGGCUGGGAGAGAAAAACCAAAUAGAGAUCUGUGCUGUGGAUUUUACUCUCGGGCAGUGGGAAAACCAGAGUUGUCCCCUCUGACCACUUUCUAGAAACUUCCAGACCUCAUGCCAGCAGGGAGGGUGACUGUUGGGAAGUCGGCCCCACUGCCCGCUGUCCCCCUAGACGACCUUUGCAGUUGGGCCCAGGCCCCGGCCCUUCAGAGCUCCUCGUGGACCCGCUCCUGGUCUUCGUCCGACUUCAGCUUGAGCUCCUCAGCGGUGAUGUUCCCAUCCUGGUUGCGAUCCUGGUUCUGGAACAUGUCUCCUAUGGUUUUCUCAGGGUCCUGGCCAGGCAGGAGGCGUCCCUUGCCCUCACUGACUUGAGCCUUGAUGAAGGUGGAGAACUGCAGCCAGGAGAGCCAAGGGGAGGGGAGAGAGCGUCCUGCCUGAGCAGCUGUGCUCAUCUUGGGACGGGUCCCCAGGUGGAGGCCUUCCAGCGAGGACUGAGGAGAGGAGCUGGUGCGGAGGGACCACCAGCUGCCGCCUCUCUCCCACACACAUGCCCUGCAGGCCUGUGUCCAGACCUUCGAUCACCUUGUGGGCGCCCAGAGUCGCCUCCUGAGGGGCCCCGUAGUCGUGGCUGGGGGGAGAGCAGAUUCCCAGGCCUCCAGGGGCCGGGACAGUGUCUUGAUUUCCACUGGAUCUGCAGGGUUGUGGAAGUCGAUGAUGUGGACGUCGAAGAUCAGCACAGCAGAGCCAGGGAUCUUGUCUCCUGGGGCCAGAAUGGGGGCGUGGAUCAGCUGGAGUCUAGGAGGGGCUGCUCUAGGUCUCCAUGGAGGCCCCAGACCUUCCCCAUCCUGGGGUUUUAAACAAGGAUGGGAUGGGAUGUUUGUCUACAUAGUCAGCUCUUCUAAUGUACUCUGUGGUGGUGAGGAGGCAGGGGAGGGGAGGGGCACGCCAGCUGGAAAGCCUUUUCCAUAUGUAUCUUGCAACCUCCCAAUAACUCACCCUGCUGAUCGAUGUGAUUAGGUCCAUUUUACAGGUGAGCAAACAAAGGCUUCCAGCAAAGCUGGGACUCAAAUCCAGGUCUCUUUGCUUCCCAGGGCUAUGCUGUUUCUGUUCUUCCAUAACCACCCUCCCUCCCCAAGCUCAGGAGUCUGCUGCCUUUCUCCAGUGUGGAAGGGGAGAAGUGGGGGACUGCCCCCUGGAGAAAAGGAUGGAGUCCUUGUGGCAGGAGUUGGGUGGGGGACCAGUUUUUUCGAUGAGAGGGGCAGAGCAAUGGCUGGAAUCCGCCCCCUUUGCCCCUGCCCAUCAGGGGGAAGGUCAGGAGGAACUGCGGUGUUGGCUUGGGGAACAGGGAGCAUGCCUACCAGUCCCGUUCUCCCCAUAGGCAAGGUGGGGGGGGAUGGUGAUUCUCCGGCGCUCCCCCAUGCACGAGCCCUGCAGCCCCCGGUCCAUCCCUGGGAUGACAUAGCCCUGCCCCACAUAGGUAUUGUAGGUGCGGUUUCGGGAGUAGCUGCAAUACAUACAAGGCGGGGAGGCGGGCAAGAGAGUCACAGCGGCCCCGCCCUUCCUGCAGCACAGAGCCGCCCCCAGCCCCCACCGUCGUCCUCAGGACCCCCCGGACCUGGAGUCAAAGAGGGUACCAUCCAUCAGGGAGCCGUUGUAGUGGUAACGCAUGAAGUCCCCAGCCACGGCUCUCCGGACGCAGCCAGGUGGCAGCUCCAGUGUCUCCAGCUGAACCGCGUCCUUUGGGUUGUGGACGUCAAUCAGUAGGACUUGGAAGACCAGGGAGGCCUGCGGGGGGAUCACAGUCCCUGGGGAAGGGAUAGGCUUGAACCAUACACGUGGAGAGCAAAGCAGGGCUCUUCCACUCAGGAAGGCCUAUGUGAGCACCGUGCAAAAAGGUGCUAACCCUGCUUUCCAGAGCCUUUGACGCCCAUCAGCAGCCCCGGUUCUGCCCCUGUGAGGCCUGAGCUGAGCUCUCCCCAGGGCCACCACCAGCCCGUAUGAGGCUUUGUGUGAAUCGGAAUAAAGCACCUUUUGUUUUUUGGCUGUGCUUCGAGGCUUCCGGAAUCCCAGUUCCCCAACCAGGGAUUGAACCCGGACCCCAGCAGUGAUAGUGCCGAGUCCUAACCAGCCAAGCACCCCUUCUUAGUGAGGUGACCACCAAGGGCUAGAUUGCAUCACUACUUGCCUCCCUGGCUGGGUGUCCUUGUGCAGUACUCAACCUGAACAACUAUAUGUGGCAGCCC